CAUUUAACUUAGCUAGAGUUGGUGUAGUAUUGACUAUGUCGAAUAAAGUUCUAGAUGGGUUAUGAUGAUGACAUUUCCCAUCUAUGUGUCUUGACCAAAUUACGUGCCAGCAGUCGCGGUAACACGUAAAAGACUAGUGUUAUUCAUCUUUAAUAGGUUUAAAGGGUACCUAGACGGUAAAUCAAGUCCGAGAAGGAUACUAAUUUGACUAGAGUUUAAUAUGAGGGGGCACAAAAGUACUGAUAAGUGGAGAGAUGAAAUUCUGUGAUACAAUAUACGGCACUGGUAAAGGCGAAGGCAUCUCAUUAUGUAAUAACUGACGUUGAGGGACGAAGGCUAUGUGUAGCAAAAAGGAUUAGAUACCCAAGUAGUCUUAGCAGAAAAUUAUGAAUGUCAUAGGAUAGAACAACAAAUUUUUUUCUAUAAAUGAAAGUGUAAGCAUUCCACCUCGAGAGUAAUAUGGCAACAUUGGAACUGAAAUCAUUAGACCGUUUCUGAAACAAGUAGUGAAGUAUGUUGUUUAAUUUGAUGGUCCGCAAAAAACCUUACCACAAUUUGAAUAGAAAAAAAAAUUUUUUUUUUUCAUACAAGCGCUGCACGGUUGUCUUCAGUUAAUGUCGUGAGAUCUUGGUUAGUUCCAUUAAAUUAACGUAAACCCUUACUUUAUUUUUAUAUAAAGUAGUUCACCGCUAGAUUGGAUGUGAUAACAGGGACUAAGACAAGUCAUCAUGGCCUUAAUAUUGUGGGCUAUAGACGUGCCACAUAUGCCUUACAAAGGGAUGCGAAAUUGCGAAAUUGAGCU
rnacentral:rRNA from 1 species